UCUUAAAAUGGAGAGAGAGAGAGAGGACGGCACGGUGACUUUUGUGAAACUCCACUUCAUCGCCCCCAUCUCGCCUCAUCACCCUGGAAAAAAAGAGACUCCAUCAGCAGCUAAAAGGCCUGACCGAGGGAUGAUGUAGGACCGCGGUGAGCAAAUCCGACAGGACUCCACCAAACGUCUCCCUGCUGACUUAUUAGCAUCCUGAAAAGUGGGUCAAUCAAAGGAGAAGGGGAGAAGCGUGUUUUAAAAAACAGAAAACCCCAAGUAUCACAGAACUAAAGAAAAGCAUAUGCUUGAUAAAACCGUAUUAAAAAAAUAUUUACUAAUGAUACUUCCAGAAGCCUGUUGGGCAGAAAGUGGAAAGAUUUGGCAAAGAAAACAAGUUGUAAGAGAAUUUCAGAGCCAUUUUCAAAUAAGUGAUCUGUGCUCGUUAGAACCAUUUCUUCUCUGCUUUGCCCCGAUAACAGUUCCUUACCUGCUUAUUGAAAACGGAUUUAUUAAAGGGCAAAGAGAAGAUUUAUUCCCUACAAUGCCUAAAAUAUUUUGCUUUGUGUUCCACAUUGUUGUUGUUGUUAAGCAGUCAGUAGAUCAGGAUACACAAGGCCUUCAUGCUUAAAUCUGUUUCAUCACAUGACUGCAUUAAAAUGGAUAUCGCUGCAAUCGGGCAAACAAAGUUAAAUUACAAAUAAGACUGUAACACAAGCCAAUUAAGAAGGAACGAGUCCAUUCUGAAAUAUGUGAUAUGUUUGCAGUGUAAGACAAGUAUCGUAUCAGAUAUGUUUUUUUCUACAUAGCAAGCAGGUUGGAAGUUUGAGUCGUUCAGAUGCUCAUGUGACCUCUACGCUUCUAAUGGUGACAAUGAUCUCUGUUCCUGCAGAUUAGAAAUGUCACAAAUGUCAGGAAAAACAUCUAUUUUCUUUUGCUUAUGCAUGGAAUGGGAAUCAAAAUGACAUCGGUCUAACAAAUAUUUAUAGCAUGAUGUUAAAGUAUAUGUGUGUUUUUCCAUCGUUUUACACAGCCCGUAAAAACUUUAUGUAGAGUGUCUAAAUAUUUAAUGGCAUGUAGAGGCUUUUUUUCUGGAUUUGCUGUGUUUGCAUAUUUAAAUGCAGUGAGGCUCUGCAAGGAACUGAAAUUGUGAUAAUUGGAAAGUACGGGCUUCCAGCAAAUGGACUUCUUGUACAUUUAUCACUCAUUUCAUUGGGAUUAUAAUUCACUCCGGUCCAUCAUUUAAAAAACACAACGCAAAGACGCGUGUGCAAAUGCACGCGUGUAAUAAUGUGUAAUAUUGUGCAUUCAGCAUCCUAAUGAUUCUGGCUUCUGGAUAGUGAGGGAAAUGUCGUCGUGUUAAUAGUAAAAAUGCAGAUUUUGGCAGGUCAACUGUUUGUUUUUCUUGUUGUUUAAACCUAAUAUUGGUUAUCCUGGCGGAUUCCUUCUUUGGACCUGGUGGCUUUGUCCUGUGUUGAGCUUUGCCUUCAUCCUUGGAAAUAAAAGCAGCAGAAAAGAAGAACAUGGCACCACGCAGCUUUCUUGAAAGAGCAUCGAUAUUUUCUGCAUGAAAGAGCCUUCACACUAAAUUCUAAAGCUACUUGGUGGGACUGCUCUCUUGAUCUAGGUGUUUCUAGAAAAGAGCACCCUUGGCAAACCCACUCUGGUUACAACGUAUUGAAAAUAAAUGCAAUCCAGCAAUGAAGGCAACGAUUGACAACGGCUCAAAUAACACGGCCGCAACCCAGGAAGUGACAGGUCAGUGGGAGCCGACCCCCAACCGGCGAAGAACCCAUAAAAUAAAGAUCACCAGGGCGACGGUGAUCCAAAGCACUACCAUAUUCACAUGGUUAAUGUUCCUGCUUCUCUUCUUUGCUGGAUAUUCCCGGUGCAGCUGAUUGCCUAUAAUUUCACCCGAGCAUCAGAGGACGGGGGGAUCCAUUGUGGAGCGUGAGUUGUAUUGCCGCUCUGCCAGCUAAAUGAUCUCCAGUGGACGCCGGCUUAAAUGGGAGCUAAACGGCGACGCCGAGCGCUCCUCUAUCUGAAGCUCAUUACCCGCCUCUCGAUUCCCCAGAGACCUGGCUCAGCUUCGCAUCGAGCACUCUCCCGCCAGGAGGAGGGUGAUUACAACAUUUUGCUCGACAAAAGGCCCACCCCCCCCAGCCCUCGCCAUUUCCUGUCUCCCCCCCCCCUCUCCCCUCUCUGCGUUUCUUUCAGGCUCUCUCUCUCUCUCUUCUGCACCUCUGGCGAAUCGCACGCCGCCUGAUUUGUCUUUGUUUCCUUCCAAUGAUUGCGACGCUUAAGAGACAAGCAGUCCGUGAAUGGCACGGCGGAGCGCGCGCUCGCUAACAGACGACGGCGGGAACAAGCGGAAUUAUGAAUCAUCGCGCAGUCCAGACGACAACAAGCGCGAUAGCAGUGACAACAACACCGAAUCAAGAGGCUUUUUCUAAGAGCGGAUCACGGGACAGCCGCAGAAUGGCGAGCAGAUGGGAUAAACACUGAUGCAUGGCCGCCCGGGAGGAGCGGAGGCCUACGCGUUCCUCUGCCAGGGCUCGAUGUACUCCAGACCCAGAUGCGCAAAGAUGUCCUUUUCAGUCGAGGCUGCCAGGAACUCGUUCUAGAGUGAGAGAGAGAGAGAGAGAGAGAGAGAGAGAGAAAGAGAGUAAAAACAAAGAGAAAGAAGGUGAAUUCUCAAAAUUUGACCUUCACUGUUCCUAAAGGUGUUCAAGCUCUGCAAUCCGUAGCGGCGCGUUUACCGCCACCUCCGCCGCCAGCUGUCAAUGAAGCGGCGACUGUGGCGGUUUACAUUUGAACGCCCACCUCCCUUCCAACUCAUAAACACUCUCACCCCGCUCUGUGUGAUUGCGCCCAAAGAAUUUUCUUUGACGAAUCACGACGGGGGACAUUAGCGGCUGGCCGUCCACCAGCAGGCCAUGUGAUGGGUUGUGUCUGUACAGGAGGGGAGACGAGGCCGGACUCACCUUGAGAGUGAGACAGCCGAAAGAGAGAGAGAGAGAGAGUGUUGUGAUUCUGACACGUCCUGCCUCCACGUGUUAAACCGGACCGGAAGAGAUUUUGCAGAAGAAACGAGCGUCCCCCGCUGCGAGCCAAGCGGCAGACAUAACCGAGUGCAACCAGUCGACAGGCAGGAGAAGGGAAAAGCGCCACCAGGCUCGCCUCCCAACAUGCGCCUAGUUUAUUUAUAAUGCAAACGACAGGUUAGCCGUGCGGCGGGGGAGGUUUGGCUGCACGCUGCAUGAGGCUCCGUUCAUACCAUAGAUCUUCCUGACCACUGCAUUUGGAAGUAAAAGUAAAAGGGAGCGCCUCAAAAGGUCAAUAAACACAAAAAAUCACUUUGUUUUUAGCUUCCGAAUAAGUGAGUGAGUUAACAUAAAUACUUGUUACUGCUGUUGGCAAUCAUGCCUGACAAAAAUUCUUUAAACUGAGAAUCUCCGUAUUCUUAAAUAUGUUGGUCAUAUAGUGCUUUGUUCUGGGAGACGAAUGAACGAACCAACGCAGCUCAUCGUACGCUCUUCUGAGCGAUCGAGUGGUCAAAUAACUGAAGGACGAAAAAGAAAACACAGAAAAUCAAACAGAAGUUAUUAGGUUGAUUUUCAUUUGGGUGGAAAAGGACGUUUUCCCCUGUUUUUACACUUUAUUGUGAUGGACACCCAGAGAGACUGUGCGUGGUGUCCGUUAGUUUCUCAUUUUUCUCCCGUAGACAAAUCCUCUAACCUCCGUAGCCCCUUGAAAUAUUAUUGCUCUUUAAUAAAGAAUGAGAAAAAAUA